GGUUUCCGUAGGUGAACCUGCGGAAGGAUCAUUAAUAAAUUUUUUAAAAUUUAUAAAAAAUCCAUUUCACCCCUUUGUGAAUUCGUUAAUUUGUAAAAAAUGUCCUUUCCAGUGGAGCUAAGUUUUUUAGGAAACUGGUUAGGUAUAAAACUUUUUUUUAAUAUAACGUUUUGUGUGAUCUGUCUGAAAAAAAUUGUUUAAAUUAAAAAACAACUUUUGACAAUGGGAUCUCUUGGUUCUUCGCAACGAUGAAGAACGCAGCGAAUUGCGAUAAGUAAUGUGAAUUGCAGAUUUAGUGAAUCAUCGAAUUUUUGAAACGCAUAUUGGCACUUUUUGGUAUUCCGAAAAGUAUGCCUGUUUGAGUAUCAGUAAAUAUUCUCAUCACAAAUUUUUUUUUUGAAUUUGUGUAUGGAUUUGAAUGCUUUUACUUGCUUAAGGUGAAAACAUUUGAAAUAAAGUUGUUGAACUUUUAGGAAUAUUUAUAACAAUAAAAUGUGAUAAAAUUUUCCCGCAAGGAAUAACCUAUUCAUUUUAAAGUUUAAGUAGGGAAUAAAAGGAAUUCUUCAUUGAAGGAAUUUAGACAACUUUUGAUAUUUAUUGAUCAAAAAGUUCUAAUCUAAAAAAAUUAAACUUGAUCUCAAAAUCAGGUAAGAGUACCCACUGAACUUAAGCAUAUCAAUAAGUGGAGGAAAAGAAACUAACAAGGAUUCCCUCAGUAACGGCCGAGUGAAGCGGGAAGAGCUCAAAUUUGAAAUCUUGAAAGGUCCACCUUUCACGAAAUUGUAGUUUAAAGAAGCGUUUUUCUGUUACGAUCGUAAUAUAAGUUCUUUGGAAUAGGACAUCACAGAGGGUGAGAAUCCCGUCUAUGAUUGCGAUUUGUAGCUUUGUGAUACCACUUUCAAAGAGUCGGGUUGUUUGGGGAUGCAGCCCAAAACGGGAGGUAAAUUUCUUCUAAGGCUAAUAUUGGCGAAGAGACCGAUAGCGAACAAGUACCGUGAGGGAAAGAUGAAAAGAACUUUGAAAAGAGAGUUAAAUAGUACCGUGAAAUUGUCAAAAGGGAAGCGGUUUAACACCAGUGGUUGUUUUCUUGAAAAUCAACCUCUGUUAGCUUUAUGCAUGUUUGUUUAGACCUAAUCAGCUAUCUUGCAUGUUCUAUUGUUUGCAGUGGUGCACUUUUCAGUUUACCAGGUCAACAUCAGUUUUUUUUUACCGUAAAAAAAGUUAAAGAAAGGUAGCUCAUGGCUCCGGUCGUGGAGUGUUAUAGUCUUUUUUCCUAUGCGGUAGGAGAGACUGAGGUCUGCAGUGUAGGCUAUUUGGCUAGAUACUCAGGUGCUAUGUGAUACCAUUUCAUAAACAACUUGUUGACUAUGUUUUGUCUAUUGCAUACUCGCUUGUACUAUCAUACCUACGCUUAGGAUGUU
rnacentral:misc_RNA from 1 species